rnacentral:rRNA from 1 species
GACGAACGCUGGCGGCGUGCUUAACACAUGCAAGUCGAACGGAAAGGCCCUUCGGGGUACUCGAGUGGCGAACGGGGGAGUAACACGUGGGUGAUCUGCCCUGCACUUUGGGAUAAGCGGGGGAAACUGGGGCUAAUACCGAAUAGGACCACGCGCUUCAGGGUGUGUGGGGGAAAGCUUUUGCGGUGUGGGAUGGGCCCGCGGCCGAUCAGCUUGUUGGUGGGGUAAUGGCCUACCAAGGCGACGACGGGUAGCCGGCCUGGGAGGGUGACCGGCCACACUGGGACUGAGAUACGGCCCAGACUCCUCCGGGAGGCAGCAGUGGGGAAUAUUGCACAAUGGGCGCAAGCCUGAUGCAGCGCCGCCGCGUGAGGGAUGACGGCCUUCGGGUUGUAAUCCUCUUUCAAUAGGGACGAAGCGAAAGUGACGGUACCUAUAGAAGAAGCACCGGCCAACUACGUG